rnacentral:rRNA from 1 species
AAUAUUGGACAAUGGGCGAAAGCCUGAUCCAGCAAUGCCGCGUGAGCGAUGAAGGNCUNNGGGUUNUNAAGCUCUUUUACCCGNNNNNAUAAUGACAGUACCGGGAGAAUAAGCCCCGGCUAACCUCGUGCCAGCAGCCGCGGUAAUACGGAGGGGGCUAGCGUUUGUCGGAAUUACUGGGCGUAAAGCGCACGUAGGCGGCCAUUUAAGUCAGAGGUGAAAGCCUGGAGCUCAACUCCAGAACUGCCUUUGAGACUGGAUGGCUAGAAUCUGGGAGAGGCGAGUGGAAUUCCGAGUGUAGAGGUGAAAUUCGUAGAUAUUCGGAAGAACACCAGUGGCGAAGGCGGCUCGCUGGACAAGUAUUGACGCUGAGGUGCGAAAGCGUGGGGAGCAAACAGG